GGUUCGGUGGUCUAGGGUUAUGUUUCUCGCUUAGGGUGCGAGAGGUCCCGGGUUCAAAUCCCGGCCGAACCC
rnacentral:tRNA from 13 species